CGUAGGGUGCGAGCGUUGUCCGGAAUUAUUGGGCGUAAAGGGCUCGUAGGCGGUUUGUCACGUCGGGAGUGAAAACUCAGGGCUCAACCCUGAGCCUGCUUCCGAUACGGGCAGACUAGAGGUAUGCAGGGGAGAACGGAAUUCCUGGUGUAGCGGUGAAAUGCGCAGAUAUCAGGAGGAACACCGUGGCGAAGGCGGUUCUCUGGGCAUUACCUGACGCUGAGGAGCGAAAGUGUGGGGAGCGAACAGGAUUAGAUACCCUGGUAGUCCACACCGUAAACGUUGGGCGCUAGGUGUGGGACUCAUUCCACGAGUUCCGUGCCGCAGCUAACGCAUUAAGCGCCCCGCCUGGGGAGUACGGCCGCAAGGCUA
rnacentral:rRNA from 1 species